AGUGGACGCUGGCGGUAGGCCUAACACAUGCAAGUCGAACGGCAGCACAGUAAGAGCUUGCUCUUACGGGUGGCGAGUGGCGGACGGGUGAGGAAUACAUCGGAAUCUACUUUUUCGUGGGGGAUAACGUAGGGAAACUUACGCUAAUACCGCAUACGACCUACGGGUGAAAGCAGGGGAUCUUCGGACCUUGCGCGAUUGAAUGAGCCGAUGUCGGAUUAGCUAGUUGGCGGGGUAAAGGCCCACCAAGGCGACGAUCCGUAGCUGGUCUGAGAGGAUGAUCAGCCACACUGGAACUGAGACACGGUCCAGACUCCGACGGGAGGCAGCAGUGGGGAAUAUUGGACAAUGGGCGCAAGCCUGAUCCAGCCAUACCGCGUGGGUGAAGAAGGCCUUCGGGUUGUAAAGCCCUUUUGUUGGGAAAGAAAAGCAGCAGGUUAAUACCCCGCUGUUCUGACGGGACCCAAAGAAUAAGCACCGGCGAACUUCGU
rnacentral:rRNA from 1 species